rnacentral:misc_RNA from 1 species
GACGUAGGGAGCAAGCGUUGCCCGGAAUUAUUGGGCGUAAAGGGCUCCUAGGCGGUUCAGUAAGUCGACUGUGAAAAUCCAAGGCUCAACCUUGGGACGCCAGUCGAUACUGCUGUGACUUGAGUUCGGUAGAGGAGUGUGGAGUUCCUGGUGUAGCGGUGAAAUGCGCAGAUAUCAGGAGGAACACCAACGGCGAAGGCAGCACUCUGGGCCGAUACUGACGCUGAAGAGCGAAAGCGUGGGGAGCAAACAGG